rnacentral:rRNA from 1 species
AGUGAACGCUGGCGGUAGGCCUAACACAUGCAAGUCGAACGGCAGCACAGUAAGAGCUUGCUCUUACGGGUGGCGAGUGGCGGACGGGUGAGGAAUACAUCGGAAUCUACUUUUUCGUGGGGGAUAACGUAGGGAAACUUACGCUAAUACCGCAUACGACCUACGGGUGAAAGCAGGGGAUCUUCGGACCUUGCGCGAUUGAAUGAGCCGAUGUCGGAUUAGCUAGUUGGCGGGGUAAAGGCCCACCAAGGCGACGAUCCGUAGCUGGUCUGAGAGGAUGAUCAGCCACACUGGAACUGAGACACGGUCCAGACUCCUACGGGAGGCAGCAGUGGGGAAUAUUGGACAAUGGGCGCAAGCCUGAUCCAGCCAUACCACGUGGGUGAAGAAGGCCUUCGGGUUGUAAAGCCCUUUUGUUGGGAAAGAAAAGCAGCAGGUUAAUACCCCGCUGUUCUGACGGUACCCAAAGAAUAAGCACGGGCUAACUUCGUG